rnacentral:rRNA from 1 species
AAUAUUGGACAAUGGGGGCAACCCUGAUCCAGCCAUGACGCGCGUGUGAAGAAGGUCUUCGGAUUGUAUAGCACUUUAAUUUGGGAGGAAGGGGUUUUGGUUAAUACUCUGAAGUUUUGACGUUACCAAUCGGUUAAGCACCGGCUAACUCUGCGCCAACAGCCGCGGUAAUACAGAGGGUGCAAGCGUUAAUCGGAAUUACUGGGCGUAAAACGCGCGUAGGUUGUUCAGUAAGAUGGGUGUGAAAUCCCAGGGCUUAACCUGGGAACUGCUUUCAUAACUGCUGAGCUAGAGUACGGUAGAGGGUAGUGGAAUUUCCCGUGUAGCGGUGAAAUGCGUAGAUAUAGGAAGGAACACCAGUGGCGAAGGCGACUACCUGGACUGAUACUGACACUGAGGUGCGAAAGCGUGGGGAGCAAA